ACGUAGGGAGCGAGCGUUGUCCGGAAUUACUGGGCGUAAAGGGCGUGUAGGCGGAAAUUUAAGUAAGGUGUGAAAACUUCGGGCUCAACCCGGAGACUGCACUUUAAACUGGAUUUCUUGAGGGCAGGAGAGGAAAGUGGAAUUCCUAGUGUAGCGGUGAAAUGCGUAGAUAUUAGGAGGAACAUCAGUGGCGAAGGCGACUUUCUGGACUGUACCUGACGCUGAGGCGCGAAAGCAUGGGUAGCAAACAGG
rnacentral:rRNA from 1 species